rnacentral:rRNA from 1 species
AGUGAACGCUGGCGGUAUGCCUAACACAUGCAAGUCGAACGGCAGCACAGUAAGUGCUUGCUCGUACGGGUGGCGAGUGGUGGACGGGUGAGGAAUACAUCGGAAUCUACUUUUUCGUGGGGGAUAACGUAGGGAAACUUACGCUAAUACCGCAUACGACCUACGGGUGAAAGCAGGGGAUCUUCGGACCUUGCGCGAUUGAAUGAGCCGAUGUCGGAUUAGAUAGUUGGCGGGUUAAGGGCCCACCAAGGCGACGAUCCGCAGCUGGUCUGAGAGGAUGAUAGGCCACACUGGAACUGGACCAGGGUCAAGACUCCUAAGGGAGGCAGCAGUGGGGAAUAUUAGACAAUGGGCGCAAGCCUGAUCCAGCGAUCCCGAGUGGGUGAAGAAGACCUUCGGGUUGUAAAGCCCUUUUGUUGGGAGAGAAAAGCAGCAGGUUAAUACCAAGCUAUUCUGACGGUACCCAAAGAAUAAGCGCCGGCUAACUUCGUG